UCUCCGGUGGCCUAGUCGUUAGAGCGUCCGUCUCGGAUACGGAAGGUCGUUGGUUCGAUCCCCUGUUGAG